GGUCACUCUAGGUCCCGGUCCCCUCAGUGGCGAAGGUCACGAUCUGCACAGAGGUGGGGAAAAUCUAGAAGUCCCCAGAGGCGUGGCCGAUCAAGGUCUCCUCAGAGGCCAGGCUGGUCCAGGAGCAGAAAUACCCAGAGAAGAGGCAGGUCUAGGUCAGCAAGACGAGGCAGAUCACAUUCUAGAUCUCCAGCCACUAGGGGCAGAUCCCGAUCUAGAACGCCAGCUAGAAGGGGUAGGUCUCGGUCUAGAACACCUGCCAGGAGGAGAUCACGAUCCAGAACACCUGCCAGACGCAGGUCUCGGUCUAGAACACCAGCUCGCCGGGGCCGGUCUAGAUCAAGAACACCCACUAGGCGCAGGUCUAGAACACGAUCACCAGUUCGAAGGAGGUCUCGAAGUAGAUCGCAAGCCAGGAGAAGUGGCAGGUCUAGGUCCAGAACACCAGCCAGGAGAAGUGGCAGGUCAAGGUCUAGAACACCAGCCAGGAGAGGGAGGUCACGGUCUAGAACGCCAGCCAGAAGAAGUGGUCGAUCUCGGUCUAGAACACCAGCCAGGAGAGGGAGGUCACGGUCCAGAACGCCAGCUCGACGACGAUCUCGCAGUAGAAGUCUUGUGAGACGUGGAAGAUCUCACUCUAGAACACCACAAAGAAGAGGACGAUCUGGCUCAUCCUCAGAGAGGAAGAACAAAUCUAGAACAUCACAGAGGAGAAGCAGAUCCAACUCAAGCCCAGAAAUGAAAAAAUCUCAUGUUUCCUCAAGACGGAGCAGGUCUCUUUCUUCACCAAGAUCCAAAGCAAAAUCUUUGAGGCGAAGCCUUUCAGGUUCUUCUCCAUGUCCUAAACAAAAGUCACAGACACCAACUAGGCGAAGUCGUUCUGGUUCUUCGCCACCUAAACAGAAGUCGAAAACACCACCAAGACAGAGUCGUUCAAAUUCUCCUCAGCCUAAAGUAAAAUCUGGAACACCACCAAGAUCAGGAUCUGUAACAAACAUGCAGGCUGAAGAAUGCUCUACAACACCACAGAGACAGAGCCAUUCUGAAUCAUCACCUGAUGGUGAGGUGAAAUCAAGGACCCCAUCAAGACAAAGCUGCUCUGGGUCUUCUCCUCGAGUGAAAUCUAGCACACCUCCAAGACAGAGCCCAUCUAGGUCAUCAUCUCCACAACCCAAAGUGAAGGCAGUAAUAUCACCAAGACGAAGAAGCCAUUCUAGCUCCUCUUCUCCAAGUCCUAGUAGAGUGACAUCUAGGACACCUCAGAGAAAAAGCAGAUCAGUAUCUCCUUGCCCCAAGGUAGACUCUAGAUUGUUAAGACAUAGCCGUUCUAGAUCCUCCUCACCAGAUACCAAAAUGGAACUGGGAACGCCACUGAGACACAGUCACUCAGGGUCUACAUCACCGUAUCCGAAAAGUAUGCUCCAGACUCCACCAGAUCAAAAUCUUUCUGGAUCAAAGUCACCCUGUCCCCAAAAGUCUAGGGAUUCACCAACAGGAAGCUCUGGAUCUUUUUCCCUCUGUCCAGGUGUAACCCCUAGUAGUAUAUUACCAGGAGAGAGCAGUUUUAGCUCCUCAUUUGUGCAACAGAAAGGACAAUCUCAAACUUGGCCAGACACUUCAAGUCCAGAAGUUAGGCAGAUGCACUUGGAGUCUCCAUCGCUGCAGAGCAAAUCUCAAACAUCUCCUAAGGGUGGUCUUUCCAGAUCUUCAUCUCCAGUAACUGAGCUGACAGCCAGAUCGCCAGUAAAACAAGAUAAAAGUGAACUAUCAACAGAUCCAAAGUUGAAGUCAGGAAUGUCUCCUGAGCAAAAUAAGACUAAACCUGACUCUAGCCUAUAUCCUUUAGUAGACUCUAAAUCUCUUCUGGUACAGAGCAGAUUGGAGCCUUCUGAAUUAAAAGAGAGACUAGGUUUAAUUGAAGAGGAUGUUGCAUCAUCGUGUGUACUAAGAGACAAAUUUAGUCCUACACAGGAUAGGCCUGAGUCCUCCACAGUGCUGAAGGACACACCUAGAGUACUGUUAAAAGAAAGAAGUGGAGCUGGGUCACCUCCAGGCACAAGAGACCAAAAAAUUUUGUUGCCUAAUUCAAGUCAAGAUGAAUUAAUGGAAGUAGAAAAAUCUGAGCAACCUUUAAGCCAAGUUCUACCCACUUUAUCUCCAGAACAUAAAGAAAUGUCUGCAAGUAACUUUGAGUCAUCUCCUGAAAUAGAAGAAAGCCCUGCUGUAUUGUCUACACUUGAUCAAAGCCAGUCACAGCCUUCAAAAGCAGCAGAAAUCCCUGCAGUAGCUUCAUGUUGGGUUGGGCCACAAGUUUCUCCAGAACAUAAAGAACUAUCUCAUUCUCCCCCC
rnacentral:lncRNA from 1 species